GGCACAGUGGUAGAGUGGUUAAUACGUGAGACUCGAAUUCCGCCGGAGCGGGCCAUCCAACCCGCUUUCGGUUAGCCUAGACCAUCUCAUGCCUUCGGGCGCGUAGGUUCGAAUCCUGCCUGUGUCG
rfam:Paracoccidioides brasiliensis Pb18 unplaced genomic scaffold supercont2.7, whole genome shotgun sequence.